rnacentral:misc_RNA from 1 species
AAAAAAAGAAGAAGAAGAAAGAAAAAGAUGGUAAUUGUAUUGGUAUAUUUUGCUUUUGUUUAGAGUAAAUGUUGUAUUUUCUUCUUGUUGAAUGGGUGUGAGUGAAAUUGCUUGUGCAUACAAUAUAUCCUUUCCUUCUUGAUCAUCCAAUUCAAUCUCCAGAUUCCAUGGGAGAAGAAGCAAUUAUUGAAGAUUGCUUUUAAUUAAUUUGUUACUGAUUGGCCUAAUUGUACCUAUCAUAUCUUAUUUCCCAUAUUAAAGUAUGAGACAUAUGUAUAGACUAUAUAUUUCACAUUUUGAAAAAUAAUAUUACAAUCACUAUAUUUGUACAGUUUUUUUU